CCACUCACUCAACAAUUACACAAUCUUGACAAAAUCCCAGGUUGCAAAAAAUUAUAUUGUCAAACUCAUACAUCCAGGUAGCAAUAUACAUCACGCUACAUCUAAGUCACAUGUCCAAAAUAACAAAGAACAUAGCCAUUUCAACAUCUUGAAUAUUCAUCAAGCUAACAAAAAGAGCUGUAGCUACCCCUAAACAUUACUGAGGCUUUUCACUUUACUGAGACAUCCUCCAUACCACACUAUUAACCAAUCCGAAAGAAGCAAAUGGUAGGCAAAUUAGUCAAAGAUAUAAAGAUUAGAGUUAGCUCUAGGUUCAUGCAUAUCUAUUGGACAGAACCAAGCUCCCUGGUCAACAUAUAACAGUUAAUGAAACAAAUCUAUCCACA
rnacentral:lncRNA from 1 species